rnacentral:rRNA from 1 species
UACGAAGGGGGCUAGCGUUGCUCGGAAUCACUGGGCGUAAAGGGUGCGUAGGCGGGUCUUUAAGUCAGGGGUGAAAUCCUGGAGCUCAACGUCCAGAACUGCCUUUGAUACUGAAGAUCUUGAGUUCGGGAGAGGUGAGUGGAACUGCGAGUGUAGAGGUGAAAUUCGUAGAUAUUCGCAAGAACACCAGUGGCGAAGGCGGCUCACUGGCCCGAUACUGACGCUGAGGCACGAAAGCGUGGGG